GUCUACGGCCAUGCUACCCUGAACAAACCCGACCCCGUCUGAUCUUGGAAGCGAAGUAGCAUCAAGCCUGGUUAGUACUUGGAUGGGAGACCACCUAUGAAGACCAGGUUCUGUAGACA
rnacentral:rRNA from 1 species